GUGCUCGCUUUGGCAGCUCAUAUACUAAAGUUGGAUCAAUACAGAGAAGAUUAGCAUGGCCUCUGAGCAAGGAUGGCAUGCAAAUUCAUCAAGCAUUCUGUAUUUAU
rnacentral:snRNA from 1 species